GAUGCCAGCUAGCGAUCCGCCAAAGUUCCUCCGAUGACUUGGUGGGCAGCUUCCGGGAAACCAAAGCAUUUGGGUUCCGGGGGAAGUAUGGUUGCAAAGCUGAAACUUAAAGGAAUUGACGGAAGGGCACCACCAGGAGUGGAGCCUGCGGUUAAAUUUGACUCAACACGGGAAACCUCACCAGGCCCGGACACCGGAAGGAUUGACAGAUUGAGAGCUCUUUCUUGAUUCGGUGGGUGGUGGUGCAUGGCCGUUCUUAGUUGGUGGAGCGAUUUGUCUGGUUAAUUCCGAUAACGAACGAGACUCUAGCCUACUAAAUAGACGUACUUUAUUACCGGCAUCUCAAGGCCCAU
rnacentral:rRNA from 1 species